UCAGGAUGAACGCUAGCGGCAGGCUUAACACAUGCAAGUCGAGGGGUAUAGGUUUUCGGACCUAGAGACCGGCGCACGGGUGCGUAACGCGUAUGCAAUCUACCUUUCACAGAGGGAUAGCCCAGAGAAAUUUGGAUUAAUACCUCAUAGUAUAUCGAGUUGGCAUCAACAUGAUAUUAAAGAUUUAUCGGUGAAAGAUGAGCAUGCGUCCCAUUAGCUAGUUGGUAUGGUAACGGCAUACCAAGGCUACGAUGGGUAGGGGUCCUGAGAGGGAGAUCCCCCACACUGGUACUGAGACACGGACCAGACUCCUACGGGAGGCAGCAGUGAGGAAUAUUGGACAAUGGGCGCAAGCCUGAUCCAGCCAUGCCGCGUGCAGGAUGACGGUCCUAUGGAUUGUAAACUGCUUUUAUACGAGAAGAAACACUCCUUCGUGAAGGAGCUUGACGGUAUCGUAAGAAUAAGGAUCGGCUAACUCCGUGCCAGCAGCCGCGGUAAUACGGAGGAUCCAAGCGUUAUCCGGAAUCAUUGGGUUUAAAGGGUCCGUAGGCGGUUUAGUAAGUCAGUGGUGAAAGCCCAUCGCUCAACGGUGGAACGGCCAUUGAUACUGCUAGACUUGAAUUAUUAGGAAGUAACUAGAAUAUGUAGUGUAGCGGUGAAAUGCUUAGAGAUUACAUGGAAUACCAAUUGCGAAGGCAGGUUACUACUAAUGGAUUGACGCUGAUGGACGAAAGCGUGGGUAGCGAACAGGAUUAGAUACCCUGGUAGUCCACGCCGUAAACGAUGGAUACUAGCUGUUGGGAGCAAUCUCAGUGGCUAAGCGAAAGUGAUA
rnacentral:rRNA from 1 species